rnacentral:rRNA from 1 species
CUCAGGAUGAACGCUGGCGGCGUGCCUAAUACAUGCAAGUCGAACGAGUUCUGAUUAUUGAAAGGUGCUUGCAUCUUGAUUUAAUUUUGAACGAGUGGCGGACGGGUGAGUAACACGUGGGUAACCUGCCCUUAAGUGGGGGAUAACAUUUGGAAACAGAUGCUAAUACCGCAUAAAUCCAAGAACCGCAUGGUUCUUGGCUGAAAGAUGGCGUAAGCUAUCGCUUUUGGAUGGACCCGCGGCGUAUUAGCUAGUUGGUGAGGUAACGGCUCACCAAGGCAAUGAUACGUAGCCGAACUGAGAGGUUGAUCGGCCACAUUGGGACUGAGACACGGCCCAAACUCCUACGGGAGGCAGCAGUAGGGAAUCUUCCACAAUGGACGCAAGUCUGAUGGAGCAACGCCGCGUGAGUGAAGAAGGCUUUCGGGUCGUAAAACUCUGUUGUUGGAGAAGAAUGGUCGGCAGAGUAACUG